GACGAACCGUGCGAACGUUGUUCGGAAUCACUGGGCUUAAAGGGCGCGUAGGCGGGCUCGCAAGUCUGUGGUGAAAUCCUCCAGCCCAACUGGAGAACUGCCGUGGAUACUGCGAGUCUCGAGGGAGGUAGGGGCGUGCGGAACAGAUGGUGGAGCGGUGAAAUGCGUUGAUAUCAUCUGGAACUCCGGUGGCGAAGGCGGCACGCUGGACCUCAUCUGACGCUGAGGCGCGAAAGCUAGGGGAGCAAACGGGAUUAGAAACCCCCGUAGUCC
rnacentral:rRNA from 1 species